CCUCCUCAUCUGGGCUGUAAUAAUGAGGAUCUCUGGCAGGCACCUGGCUCUGAAAGGAGCUGCUUCUGACUUACACCUGCAGUGCUUAAUGCUUUAUCCAAAGAGCAUGUCAUGCCACUGGACUCCACAGGAUGGUGCUGCAUCCAAUACAACAUUCCAUCUCAGAUACAAGAUGAGGGGAGCAACUGAAGCUGAAGAAUGCAAAGACUAUGUCACCAGUGGCCCCAACUCCUGCUAUUUCAGCCGCACCAACCUGUGCCUGUACUUGACCUAUGAAAUCUGGGUGGAAACUGGAAACGGGACAUCAGAGAAGCUGAUUGUUAACACUGAAGACAUUGGCAAAUACCGAAAUACAGCUGAGGCACUCCUGUGUGCUAGUUCAGUCCCCUACCUCUGAGAAAUGCGCUGCACAGACAGGCCCAUGGCCAGAGCUGUUUCUUCCUCAAUUUUUUGUCUGGACAGAAUGUUAAUCCCCAAGCAGAGGCCAAAACUGAACCACCAGAGGGCCUAAAGGCCAUUGGAUUUGGCACCCAUCUCUCCGUAGAAUGGAGGUACCCACCAGGUUUGGCAGCCUCAUAUUUUCCACUGGUGUUUGAGCUUCAGUACCAAGAACAGGGAUGUGGCAAAUGGAAGCAAGAGCCUGAUGUGGGUGAACAGACCAGCUACUAUAUAUAUGAUGUGAAGCCAGAAACUGGGUACAUUCUGAUGGUUCGCUGCAAGAACUCAGAGGGAAAAGGCUUUUGGAGUGACUGGAGCACCCCAAUUAUAGUCAGUUCUGCCCAAGCCACAGCAAAACCAGUGCACUCUGGUACUGAGUGAAGUACCUGUAGAAGAUACACCACUCAAGGCAAUAGUUCACCUAGCUCAGCAUGUUGCCUUUGGCUGUGUCCUACACCCAGUGCUUUAUUAACAGCAUCUAGACCGGGUAUGUGGGUAUUGGGUCCCAAGGGCAGGAAAGUCUAAAUUAAUUUUGUGAAAGUGCUUUUUAUUAAA